rnacentral:rRNA from 1 species
GGACUACUGGGGUAUCUAAUCCUGUUCGCUACCCACGCUUUCGCACCUCAGCGUCAGUCUGAAGCCAGGAAGCCGCCUUCGCCACUGAUGUUCCUUCCGAUAUCUACGCAUUUCACCGCUACACCGGAAAUUCCGCUUCCCUCUCUUCGACUCCAGUUAUACAGUCUUAAUUGCACCUCCCAGGUUAAGCCCAGGGCUUUCACAACUAACUUAUUUAACCGCCUACGUGCCCUUUACGCCCAGUAACUCCGAUUAACGCUUGCACCCUCUGUAUUACCGCGGCUGCUGGCAC